rnacentral:tRNA from 1 species
GCCCGUCUAGCUUAGUUGGUAGCGCGUAAAGCUCUUAACCUUGUGCUCCUGGGUUCGAGCCCCAGGAUGGGUG